rnacentral:tRNA from 1 species
GAAGGUAUAGCUCAAGAGGUAGAGCAUUUGUUUAACAUGUAUGAGGUCCUGGGUUCAAUCCUCAGUACCUCUA